AAGACUAUACUCUCAGGGAUCAUUUCUAUAGUUUGUUACAUCACAAAUAUGAUCUCAUAUUGGAGAUAAAUCAUUGCUUCUGGUGG
rnacentral:snoRNA from 1 species